CGCGGCCUAUCAGCUUGUUGGUGAGGUAACGGCUCACCAAGGCAUCGACGGGUAGCUGGUCUGAGAGGACGAUCAGCCACACUGGGACUGAGACACGGCCCAGACUCCCACGGGAGGCAGCAGUAGGGAAUCUUGCGCAAUGGGCGAAAGCCUGACGCAGCAACGCCGCGUGGGGGAUGAAUGCCUUCGGGUUGUAAACCCCUUUCAGCAGGGACGAAAAUGACGGUACCUGCAGAAGAAGCUCCGGCCAACUACGUGCCAGCAGCCGCGGUAAUACGUAGGGAGCGAGCGUUGUCCGGAAUUAUUGGGCGUAAAGAGCUCGUAGGCGGUUCUGUAAGUCGGAUGUGAAAACUCAGGGCUCAACCCUGAGACGCCAUCUGAUACUGCAGUGACUAGAGUCCGGUAGAGGAAGAUGGAAUUCCUGGUGUAGCGGUGGAAUGCGCAGAUAUCAGGAGGAACACCAAUGGCGAAGGCAGUCUUCUGGGCCGGUACUGACGCUGAGGAGCGAAAGCAUGGGGAGCAAACAGGAUUAGAUACCCUGGUAGUCCAUGCCGUAAACGUUGGGCACUAGGUGUGGGGUCUUCUAACGGAUUCCGUGCCGUAGCUAACGCAUUAAGUGCCCCGCCUGGGGAGUACGG
rnacentral:rRNA from 1 species